rnacentral:lncRNA from 1 species
UCGCAUGCGCACUGGCUCUUGGAUAUGAUUCACUCAUGGCUGACUCUCGGCAUCCUUGAUUAUUGUUGACAACCCUCCAUCUUACUUAAAUCUUCUAUGUUGCUCAAACCACUUUAAGGCAGUAUCCUCUCUCUUGCAGGAAAAUUUAUCCAAGAAUAAAAAAUUAUUCCAUACCCUUUUUUUGUUUGGAGAUGUACUUAAUAGCUAGCAAUUCAUUUUGAUGAAAAAAAGAGGGAUUUAAUUAGCCAUUAGUUUAAUAUUCUUUCACAAGCAAUAUUUAUUUGGCACUUUAUCUUUCGAACUCAUGUCACAUUAAUCAUGUUUUAUCAAUGAGAUAGAUUAAUUUUAAGUCACAACAUGUUAUAGAGAGCAAAGUAAGUCAAUUUCCUAAAAGUACUGAGGUUUUUAAGUUGUAACAAAGAUAGACAUCUAACUUCCUGUUAGGACUGAGAACUUUGGAUACGUUGACAUGAGAUAUAUUAAUACUGGCCAAUUAGUUAUUAGUUUUUUUAUCCAAAUCUCAUAUUACUAUGUAUUGACAUUAUUGUUCUUGCAUUCAACUUCAAUUUUGUGGAGAACACCAAGAACACUAUAAUUAAAAUAUUAGGUGCUUUUUAAUGUUCAAAUCUAAUGUUAUUUUAUUAGAAUAAAUAGCUUUCCAAUAUUUAAGUUACUGUUUUUUGUUUUUCUGGCUGACCUAGCCAACUUAUCUUGGUUCCACCCCUCUUAACAUCAACAAGAUCAAACCUCUUCUUUGCUGCAAUUCAUAUGAAAACAAUUGGAAAGCUCUAAAUCUUCUAGAUAAUAAAUGCAGGAGUUUUGAAGGACCUAUAGAGUAACAGCGACAAUAAUCCUCAUAAACCAUGUGCCCUUUACAAAAUUUCAACAUCCUUUUAUGGCUCUGUAAUCAUCAUAUAUGAAGCAAACAAAAAGAAAAAAAAAUCUAGUGCAGUGACAAAGCCUACAUCUCUCACUUCUGAGGGAAACUUACCAGUGAGCCACCAUACAGCCCAACUCAGAUUUUUCAACUUUUGGAUUUUCAAACCCUCUAUAAUGAAACGUCUUUUAUCACAAAAAAAACAAAACACCUGUUUACUUUUAUUCAGAUUGCUAAAUGUGGAGUUUGUUCCUUUCCAGCUCAUAUCCUAAUAUAACGGAUCUCUAAUCUCCCAAAAGAAUAUGACUGAGGAUAUCUUAUCCUUUCUGAUUUUUGAAGAUGCUACUUAAACCUCCUAUUCUGCACUAACCUUUCACUAUCAUUCCACAGUGUGGAGUCUUGUUUGGCAGCUCAACUCUCAAAAAUAGGUGUCCCAAAAAUACAGUGUGAGAAGGAACCUUUUGGUUUCCAGGAAUCAAACUGCAUGGUGAUCCUCCACCUUUUGAGUUAAAAAAUGGUAACAAUCUCUAACAUCAAUACCUAAGCCAUCACACUAGCCUCCACUAAGCUUUGCCUCCCUAUGAAGUCUUGGCUACCCAUAUUCCGUGAGCAAAUGCAAUGUAAUCAUAAUCAUAAAUAUCAAACCUUGUCCCAUCUAUUUGUUAUCAGCUUUGUGAGUCCUUAAUCUUCAAAAAAUCCUAUUUAGGACAGCCUCUUCUAUCUUUUCAAAAUGGGCAUGCCCCAGAAUUCAUGAACAGCAGAAUUCGGUCAAUUCUGUAGUUUCAUAUUUCCCUUGGUAGCUAGUUGUCAAAUAAUGUAAAUUAUUCACCUUUUCUGAGUGGACAGAAAUAACAUUUCACAAGAUCACAAAUCUGUGCAUACAAAAAAAAAAACCACCACAAUAAUCAACAGAGAAGAUUUAUUUACCUCUGACAACUAUAAAAAUAAAUUUUUAACUUCAAAAUAAAACCAAAUGAAUGAAAAAAAAAAUCAAGAAUGUAAUUCAAAUCUAAAUUCAAGAUCAGAAGUUUAAAGAUUUUAAAAAUAUUCAUUUCAAAUUAUGUAAAAAAAAAAUUCUAAAUGAGCAAGUCAAGCAAAAUGACUGUGCCAUGUUUGUGAGAUAAUUUAUUCAUCUUAACAAUUCCAAAUACAAAACCUGAAUAUUAACAUCAAAACACAUAACACUAACAUGUAAGAUAGGAAAUGUACUUUUUUCUUUUUUAUCAAGUUUAGUUCCAAGUAUACACUAAAACAAGAGUAGGACAUUAGUGCAUUGAUGAUUUUCAGAAGAUACUAAGAAGAAGCAACUAGAAUUUAUUUGUAUUAUUUAUUCAUGAUGUCAACCUCAUAUACCGAAGGUAAAGGAGAGAUUAAAUGCAUUGCAAGAAAGAAAAUGCAUACUUUCUGUCCCAAGAAAUGCAUCAUCAUCAUCAUCUGGAGCUAUUUCAUCCUCAAAGUCAUCCACUUGAGGCAUUGAAGAGUCGUCUUCCUCACCAUCAGACAAAUUAUAUUUGCUUGUUCUUUUCAACUUCAACUAUAAGAGGUACCAAAAAUCAGCAUUAGGUUUUAAGCAAGUACAGAAAAUUGCUUAAAGAGAAAUAAUGAACAAAAAACAAAAAAAAGGGUAUACUGGAGAAAAAACACAUGGAUAUUAUGAAACACAGUGGUUUAAGAGAAAGCUGCUUGGAAGACUGAAAAAAUAAGGGUUACUGCACUCAUAUUCAUCCAAUAACUCUGAAAAUGUGUUAGCCAUCAUAUAUCUAAAGAAACAGCUGGUGAACAUAAAAUAAUUGCAAUAACUGAAUCCAACAGUGAUAGCAAGACAGUCAUAAGAAAUAAAAUAGUUCUCUGUAUCUACAGCAUAUAAAAAAGAGAGACUGAGAAAGACAUAUACAACAGAAUUAGACCAAGUUGGAUGAAAUCAAAAAAGUGAUGUUCCUGGGAAGUAUCUAACUGAUACAUAACUUGUGACUUUAAAGGAAAAAUAAAUUAUAAAUCACAAUAAGACAGGCAAUGUUUUGUGCCUCAAGAUGCUGGAUAACAACGAGGGUCCAAGAAAAUAAGAUGAAUGAAUGUAGGAGAACCUGCAAUGUUAGAUUGAAGCAUGGUAUCAUUAUAAGAGAUAAAGUAAAAAAUAAGUAUAUAAAGGAAGAUGUAGGAGUUGCAUAAAUUAAAAACUAAGUCAUAAGAAUUGAUUGAUGCAAUAUAGGAAUAUAUAAUGAAUACCUGAGGGUGAGGAGAGGGUACUUAGGUCUCUAUUUAAGAAUGCGUAAAAAGAAGGAGAUCACCUAAGGUAACAAGGGCAUAAAUUAUAGGAAAGGAUAUGAAAAAGCUUAAAAUAACAUCAAAUACAAAUUUGAAUUCAAAAACUAUUGUUCAGACACUGAACAGGGGUUGAUGGUUAUGAGACUUAGUUUGGUCUGGCUCAAUUGUUAGCCUGCAGGCUCAUUACCCAUCUUUUUUGCUUUUUUUUUCUUUUUUUGCAUUACUAUUAUUAACAAGAGUUUUAUUCCUAAAACCAUAAAGAGAAGCAAAGUGAACUCGAUGUCAAGGUAAUAUACCAUGACUUGAAGAAAUAAAGAAAUCAAAAGGAACAAAUACUCUCUAAAAGGACCAAAAGAUUAAUAAUUUAGGAAUUAUCAACAUUACUUGAGAUUUAUCAUGUUUAUUUUUUGACCUCUUACAAGUUUUUGAAAAUUUAUUCUUAUACUUGUUAGUUUUUUGAAUUUACUUCUCCUGGGUUGCAUUGAGUAGGAGCUAGGGGUGUAAAUGGGUCGGGUCGGACCAGGUCAUGAGUGACCACGAUCCGACCAAGUCCCUUGAUCGGGUCCUAAUGUUGGACCCAGACCCAACCCAAUUGAAAAUCGGAUUGAAUCGGGUCGGGUCCAUGUAUAAUCCGAUCCCAACCUAAAAAUUUUGGAUCCGACUCGGGCCCAACUUCUGGUCAGGCCUUGUUCAUAUGAUAAACCAAUAUAUGCGAAAUUUAUGAUAAAAGAAAAUAAACAUUACUUUACCUUGACUAUUAAUUUAUAAGCAAUUUCUCAAAAUCUCACAGUCAAAUUGAGAAAAACUGUAUAAAAAAUAAUAAUACUACAAGAACAUUUGAAAUUCUAAUCCCACUUUAUUUGUUUAUAGUUUAUAUAUUGGAUUCAAUACUGAAUCGGAUCGGGUCGAAUCCGAAUUCAGUAAAUCCAGAUCCGACCCGAAAUAUUGAACGGUCUAAUUUUAGAACCCGACCCGGCCCUGCGGAUCCUUUAAAAUGGGUUGGAUCGGGUCUAAGUGGGUCAGAUCACAGGUCGACCCGAUCCAUUUGCAGCCUUACUAGGAGCAGUCCCAAGCAUCCAGCGGACCCCUGGACACCUAUUUCCCGAUUACAGUCUUUUAAAGCAUUUGAUUACUCUGAAACAAUGGAUAAAAAUAUCUCUUUGUAAGUACUUGUGACAUUAUCCCACUAGUGAUAUUACUGUCAUAUUCCUACAGCCGACUUUUAUAGACGAAUGAGGAUGAACCCUGGACAUUUCAUGAAUCAAAGAAAACUAUAUCGCACACAAAAUAUAGAUGGAAACAAAAUGAGGUCUCAGGAAACAACGAAGAGCAAUUGUAUAAGGUACAUUUUGUAUAAAUUCAUGAACACCUGAAAACACUCCAAUUCAAGCACAGUUUACAAAACAACUGAGAUGAUCUACAUUCAAUAUAAAGGAAACUCUAACUGCAUCAAGUUGCUUAAUUCAAAUACAAAUUAAUAAAGGAAAAACAAAUAUUUAGAAAAGGGGAAAAAUUCACCUGACGCUCACGUUGCAUACGCAUGACAGCCUUGUCGAAUUCCUGGAGCGUGUCGUCCUUUUCCCCAAUUCGCUUAUCCAGGAACUUAGAUGACUUGGUACUCUCUUCGUACUCCUUCAGCAAAGUCUUCUUUCUCUGUUAUCAAGAUCCAGAAGGAAAAAGCGGGAAAACAUAGCACCAGCUCAUGAGAAAUUCGCCAUACAUAAAUCUUGAUAAACUUAUACCAUUCUUUUCAUUAAAGAAGCGAACUUUAUCUAAGUAAUCAUAAAAGAAGACCCAAGUUCUGCAGAGAUGAGACUCGGAUUCACUGGAAAGGAGAUGGACACAGUGGUGAGAGAUAAAGGAGGGAGUAAAGGGGGUACCUUUUCGAUGGCGAGAGAACGGGCAAGGCCGACGCGGCGUUCCUCACCCUUGCGCUUCUUCCCAAGGAUGUCGAAUUUGCGGCGAGACCAGAUGGUCUCGAAGGGGUUCGCCCGGACAGGCUUCGCUGCCUUCAUGGCGGCGGCCGCCGGGCCGGAAAGCAAGCUCUUGGCACUCUUCUUCUUCUUCGAAUUGGAGCUGCUCGAAGAUUUCGAUUGGGCCUUUGUCUUCGCCAUUGGCGGCGGGUGGAUGGAGGCCACAACGAUGUCGGACUCAGAGAGAUAGAAGGCGAGGAUGGAGCAAAAAGAGGGGUUUAGGGUUUUUAUUUAAUAAAUAAAUAAAUGUCGGCGAACCGCAAGAGGUAAAAGAAAACAGAAACGUGGCGGCUUCCGAACUCCCCAAUUCACGGUAAAAAAAAAAGGCGGGCCGCCAUUUUUUUUUUUUUUUCAAGAACUGAAUUGAAAAUUUUGUAGCCAAAGAAGAAUCCCUCCGAUGAAAAACCCCCAAACCCUACAGGGUUCUACCUCAAAACCUCAAGGGACCAACUCACACCGCCACAACUAGGACAAAAUCCUAAAACCCCCUGUGAUCUCCCUAGGUGCCCUCCUUCCCCACAGAUCUCCGAAAAAGCGAAUGAAAUGAAAAAAAAAAAGAAGCGAAAAAAAAAAUAUCAAUCUAUGUGAGACAAGGUUUAUCUUUCGAACUUUUCCAUCUUUCCUUUGCUUUCAUUGAUUUUUCCUAUGUUUUCCACAGGUUUUUCCCCUGCUUUUUCGAUCCUUCGUAUCAAUCGGGUGGGAGGCUUGGGGCGGCCGAACAGUGAAGCUUAGGCGAGGGCAACGAUUUUGUGUUGGGUAUUUAUAUGUAAGCGUCCAAAAAAAUUAAAUAUAUUAUUAAUUAAUUUAAAAAUAGAUAUAAUUUUAUUAAAAAAUAAAAAAAAUAUGGUUGAUUGUAUUUAUUGGGUACUAUUAUUUUAUCAAAAAAAUUUUGAAUUUUCAAAAUAAAUUUUAAAAUUAUAUAUUAAAUGUGUAGAAGUACUUAAAUUAUAUAUUAAAUAUCCAACGACACCCAAAAAGACCAACCCAAUUAGAAUUUACGAUGCUAUAUUCAAACAUAAAAAAAUAUUUAAAUUUAUUAUCUAUGAUUCAAAAAAUAUCUAAAUAUUAAUAUAAAUAAAAUUGAUAAUUUUAUGAUAUGAAUUUAGAAUUGAGUUUAAAUAUAUUGUUAGUUCAACUAAGAUUUAUAUAGAGUUGGAUUGGUAAUAUUUUAAAUAUAAAAUAAUAUUUUAUUAUAUCAAAAAACUUGCAUAUAUACUUGUUAAAAAAAAAUUGCAUAUGUAAAAAAAAUAAAUUAUUUAAUAUUUUUUUAGGAGAGAAAAAAUUAUUUACAAAGCAAGGUUAAAAUUAAUUAAUAUUAAAAAAUAUCAAUACCAUCCUAUAUUCAUUGGAAUGUAAAAAAUAUACCUACGUUUCUCUAUGUCACCCAAUUAGAAAUCUCUCAACUAUUUUUGUAUUUCCAACCGAAAAGAAUCAAAAUUUGAUUGGUGAGCUUAAAAGAUCAUCUCACUGGUCAUGAAAGCACUACGGCUCACACAAAAUAUGAUAAGGUGAAAAUUAGUGCAUUGCACAAUGCAUUGCUUUGAAAAUAACACUUGCUCGACAUUAAAUUUUUAUUUUUAUUUUUGACCAUAAAAAGAUAGCUAGGUUAUUGAUGAUUUCUUUGGACUUAUGGUGAAACUAUUAGCCAUGAUAUGAAGAUGCACACUUAUAACCUACAUAAAUCAAAUUCAAGAUGUAAGUAUUGCAAAUAGUCAGAGUUAUAAUUCAAAAGCUACUUGUUUAUAUCGCUCGUCAGCUCACCAUCAUGAAGGAGCUAAUUUAUGAAGUUUCCUAUACAAGAUAUGAUUUGGAGAGGUAUCUGCGGCUUUUAGAUGAUUUCCCUACGUAAUAUAUAUAAGCAUUGCCAUGAUCAAUGCAGGUUUGGUGUCACUAACUUUCCUAAGUUGGAUGAUGGUAGGGCUUCUCGGAACCUACCAUGAGUGCCAUAAUUAUAACCAAACAAUUUGAGGAACUAAUUUGUGUCCAUACGGUUCUCGAAAGUAUAUAAACCAUACUCGACUUUCCCCAUGCAUCAAAUUCUUGGGUGCAAUGCAUCGAAUAGAAAGAGGCAAACGUCCUCAUCAAAGGAGAGAGAAAAAAGGUAGAUGGUGAACUUGAUCUAUGAAUUUAGAAAAGUUACAAAAAGGGAUUAAAAAAAAACGCAGGUGCAACCAUCAAUAUACCUCCUUUAUUUUUCCUGGGGCAAGCUCAAUAGACUUUGACAUGACCAUGACCAGCUUUGUUUUUUUCCUUUUUUUUUUUUUUUUUUUUUUUUUUUUUUUUUUUGGGGUUAAACCGACCAACUUUGUUAAUAUGGAAUUGUUCAACAUCAACUCACGAAAAAAUUUUACUCCCUCUGUUAAGAUUUGAUGUCUCAAGAUUUGAUCCAUAUUGAGCCCAU